ACGUAGGUGGCAAGCGUUAUCCGGAUUUACUGGGUGUAAAGGGCGCGUAGGCGGGAAUGCAAGUCAGAUGUGAAAUCUCCGGGCUCAACCCGGAAGCUGCAUUUGAAACUGUAUUUCUUGAGUGUCGGAGAGGUAGAUGGAAUUCCUAGUGUAGCGGUGAAAUGCGUAGAUAUUAGGAGGAACACCAGUGGCGAAGGCGAUCUACUGGACGAUAACUGACGCUGAGGCGCGAAAGCGUGGGGAGCAAACAG
rnacentral:rRNA from 1 species